CCAACGGGAGAGCUUCCCCUGUUCUUUCGAUGAAGAGGGGGAAGGCGACGAUGCUCCUCUCCAUAUAACCUAUCUCCUCAGCCAUUCGAUCUUCGAAGUUCCGACCAUAGCAGAAUGUAUCAACUCUUACCGAUGCGGUGCCUCCCUCAUCUCCCGUUCCUCCCUUUCCUCUGCUCCCCCAGGCCGAAGAAAUUGAAACUUCAGAUCAAUCCUCUAUCCCGAUAGCGAUAUUCUGCGGAGGAGCUUCAGUAUGCGUAAAUCUUGGGUUCCCUCCGAUUUCGCCACGUGUUGAAGAAGAAAAAACGGAGUCGAUCUGGGGUUAUUAUUGUGAAAACUGCCCCGUGAAAUCCUUCGCCUAUAACAUGUUUAUGAAGAAGAAGCCUGAAAAAGGGAAAAUGGUCCGUUCUAUUCGAUUCAAGAGGCAACGAGGUGAAUUCCGUUCAUUCUCAGUGCAUUCGCUUUUGGUUGAACCUGUGAUGAUGUGGGUUAUGAUUUUGCAAUGAAGAGUCAUCUUUUAGUAGAGGUUACACAAUUAGUGUCUAUUUUUUUUUCUCUUUCCUUGGAGCUUGCAAAGUCGAAUGUAUUGUUGCUUGAUUCAGACUGUUUAUCCUCAAUUUUGUGGGUUUUAUAACGAGUAAUUUGGUUUUGAGAUAA